rnacentral:rRNA from 1 species
UACGUAGGGGGCAAGCGUUGUCCGGAUUUAUUGGGCGUAAAGAGCGUGUAGGCGGCCAAGCAGGUCCGCUGUGAAAACUCGAGGCUCAACCUCGAGACGUCGGUGGAAACCGUUUGGCUAGAGUCCGGAAGAGGAGAGUGGAAUUCCCGGUGUAGCGGUGAAAUGCGCAGAUAUCAGGAGGAACACCGGUGGCGAAGGCGGGUCUCUGGGCCAAGACUGACGCUGAGGAGCGAAAGCGUGGGGAGCGAACAGG